UACGUAGGGUGCGAGCGUUGUCCGGAAUUAUUGGGCGUAAAAAGCUCGUAGGCGGCUUGUCGCGUCGGAUGUGAAAGCCCGGGGCUUAACUCCGGGUCUGCAUUCGAUACGGGCAGGCUAGAGCGUGGUAGGGGAGAUCGGAAUUCCUGGUGUAGCGGUGAAAUGCGCAGAUAUCAGGAGGAACACCGGUGGCGAAGGCGGAUCUCUGGGCCAUUACUGACGCUGAGGAGCGAAAGCGUGGGGAGCGAACAGG
rnacentral:rRNA from 1 species